rnacentral:rRNA from 1 species
CAGCAGCCGCGGGAAUACGUAGGGUGCGAGCGUUAAUCGGAAUUACUGGGCGUAAAGCGUGCGCAGGCGGUUAUGUAAGACAGAUGUGAAAUCCCCGGGCUCAACCUGGGAACUGCAUUUGUGACUGCAUGGCUAGAGUACGGUAGAGGGGGAUGGAAUUCCGCGUGUAGCAGUGAAAUGCGUAGAUAUGCGGAGGAACACCGAUGGCGAAGGCAAUCCCCUGGACCUGUACUGACGCUCAUGCACGAAAGCGUGGGGAGCAAACAGGAUUAGAUACCCCCGUAGUCCCUGUCUCUUAUAC